UACGUAGGGUGCAAGCGUUUGUCCGGAAUUAUUGGGCGUAAAGAGCUCGUAGGCGGGUUGGCAAGUCUGCUGUGAAAGCCCGGGGCUUAACCCCGGAGGGUCGGUGGAUACUGCCAGUCUUGAAGGUGCUAGGGGGAGGAUGGAAUUACCGGUGUAGCGGUGAAAUGCGUAGAUAUCGGUAGGAACACCAGUGGCGAAGGCGGUCUCCUGGGGCACUCUUGACGCUGGAGGCGCGAAAGCUGGGGGAGCGAACGGG
rnacentral:rRNA from 1 species